UACGGAGGGGGCUAGCGUUGUUCGGAAUUAUUGGGCGUAAAGGGCUCGUAGGCGGUUUGUCACGUCGGGAGUGAAAACUCAGGGCUCAACCCUGAGCGUGCUUCCGAUACGGGCAGACUAGAGGUAUGCAGGGGAGAACGGAAUUCCUGGUGUAGCGGUGGAAUGCGCAGAUAUCAGGAGGAACACCGGUGGCGAAGGCGGGUCUCUGGGCAGUAACUGACGCUGAGGAGCGAAAGCGUGGGGAGCGAACAGG
rnacentral:rRNA from 1 species